CUUUUCAAAAUAAGUGGGAAUUCUUUACACUUAAUGCUGUACAACUAUUUUGUUUUUUCCAUGCCUGGUCUUUAAACAAAGGAAUGUAGACCUACAUAUGACUUUCAGUUGAUUUUCAGAGUUUGGACUCGGUGAGCCAAGCGAAGUCCUGUGGCAUGCGAUCAGCUGAUGGGUUGAUCAUCACAUUGAUGAUAGUAGGUGCAUCUUUCACCUGAAACAACAUUCAUAAUCAGUGCUUUCACAUACUGGCAUUAUCAAUUUCUAACAUAAAGACAAUUAUGAAAGUCAGAGCUGUCGACAAAAUACAUAUGGUGAAAAUGGAUCCUCAUGCUACUAAGUCUCCUAGCUUCCAUACUGCAUAAUACCUACAUUAAACAACAAGCACUGGAUAAAUAUAAUUCUUCACUAAACAUCUAGGUUGGACUUGGUGUUUGUCAUUAUGGGUUGCAGGAAGCUAGUGGGAGAAUUUAUUUCACCUUUUCAUUUACGUAGUAGUGACACUGGUUUGUUUUCCAACUAAUUAUGAAGAAAAGUAAGUUGACAUAUAGAUGGCUUAGUCAAAAAUAAAUUAAUAAAUGAAGCUAGUGAUUAAAUGUGA